rnacentral:rRNA from 1 species
GACGAACGCUGGCGGCGUGCUUAACACAUGCAAGUCGAACGGAAAGGCCCUGCUUUUGUGGGGUGCUCGAGUGGCGAACGGGUGAGUAACACGUGAGUAACCUGCCCUUGACUUUGGGAUAACUUCAGGAAACUGGGGCUAAUACCGGAUAGGAGCUCCUGCUGCAUGGUGGGGGUUGGAAAGUUUCGGCGGGUGGGGAUGGACUCGCGGCUUAUCAGCUUGUUGGUGGGGUAGUGGCUUACCAAGGCUUUGACGGGUAGCCGGCCUGAGAGGGUGACCGGCCACAUUGGGACUGAGAGACGGCCCAGACUCCUACGGGAGGCAGCAGUGGGGAAUAUUGCACAAUGGGCGGAAGCCUGAUGAAGCAACGCCGCGUGCGGGAUGACGGCCUUCGGGUUGUAAACCGCUUUCGCCUGUGACGAAGCGUGAGUGACGGUAAUGGGUAAAGAAGCACCGGCUAACUACGUG